CUCCAUUUGGUGCAAGUAGAACAUGAAAUAGAUUUAUAUUGUAUCUGGUAUAGUGCUAUGUUUAGGUAUGUGGGAUUCCAUUGGCAUGUUGGAGUCUGGGGUAAUAUGAUAACAAGAUAGCAAUGGGAUUCUGGGAUUGCAAAAGGAGGGGGCGCUGUAUAAUAGUGGGGAUACCCUUAUCUAGCUCCAAUGAAUGUAUUGUACCGUUGAGAGGAAAAGUUGCAGAUCUACUUAGAAGCCCACAGAACCAAGGACCACUGGGAAAUCUACAUAUGCAGAAUAAGGGCUCAACUAAAUUUAAAACAAGCAAACAGAAAACGAGCUUCAGUGUGUGGGGAGGAUGGACAGAAAGAAUACAGACUCCCCACACACUAUCUACCCCCUGUCAUUCUCAUCCACCACACUCACUACUCAUCCAAGUCACAGUAACCCUAUGCCACUUAUUUUGUCAGUCACUUGACGCAGUCACUCUUAUACACACACAGUCACCCCUCAUACCCAACAAAGCCUCACCAUAAACAUAACGCACACAUCAAGAACACAAGCAGCUCCCCACACACACAUAUGCUCCCAGAUACAGAGACAUACAUGCUCACAGACACAGAG